CCUACGGGAGGCUGCAGUGGGGAAUAUUGCACAAUGGGGGAAACCCUGAUGCAGCGACGCCGCGUGAGUGAAGAAGUAAUUCGUUAUGUAAAGCUCUACCAGCAGGGAAGAAAAUGACGGUACCUGAGUAAGAAGCCCCGGCUAACUACGUGCCAGCAGCCGCGGUAAUACGUAGGGGGCAAGCGUUAUCCGGAUUUACUGGGUGUAAAGGGAGCGUAGACGGCAGUGCAAGUUUGGAGUGAAAGGCGGGGGCUCAACCCCCGGACUGUUCUGGAAACUGUACGGCUGGAGUGCAGGAGAGGUAAGUGGAAUUCCUAGUGUAGCGGUGAAAUGCGUAGAUAUUAGGAGGAACACCAGUGGCGAAGGCGGCUUGCUGGACUGUAACUGACGUUGAGGCUCGAAAGCGUGGGGAGCAAACAGGAUUAGAUACCCUAGUAGUC
rnacentral:rRNA from 1 species